CAGUCGAGGGGUAUAGUUCUUCGGAAGUAGAGACCGGCGCACGGGUGCGUAACGCGUAUGCAAUCUACCUUGUACAGAGGGAUAGCCCAGAGAAAUUUGGAUUAAUACCUCAUAGUAUUAUGAAAUGGCAUCAUUUUAUAAUUAAAGUCACGACGGUGAAAGAUGAGCAUGCGUCCCAUUAGCUAGUUGGUGAGGUAACGGCUUACCAAGGCUACGAUGGGUAGGGGUCCUGAGAGGGAGAUCCCCCACACUGGU
rnacentral:rRNA from 1 species